CUUUUCUCAGGAUCGCACCUGGAGAGUUUCCAGGACUCUGCCAAUGUUGGUUACGGGAGGGAAAGUCAAGUAGAGGCCUGUCCAUUCCAUUCCUAGCUUGGGCAGUGGCUAGCGAAGGGAAGGCAAUCUGCUACAAGU